GCGGUAGUGUUGCAGAUUUCCGUAACGGCACAUAUCUUGAUUGCGUAACGAAAAAGUGAAAAACUGUACUUAUGGGUCCUACAAUGACUACCAGCUGAUGACGCUGAUUUCAGCUUACGAACCCCUUAACUACGCUGGGUGUUUUGCCGCCACGCUAAGCACGGCUUUGGCCAGCUACAUUUCGUGCCCAAAGCUACUCCAGGUGAUUGGUGAUGACAAACUCUAUCCUCACUGGAUGGUUGGUUGGAUGACCAAAUAAGGAUACGGCAAAUCUAACGAGCCUCACCUUGCUUACCUGUUCACUUUCUUCUUGGCACUUGGUUUCAUCUUAAUUGCCCAGCUGGACAUGAUCGCCUUUCUGAUUUCUGAUCUCUUUCUGAUCACGUUCGCCUUUUUUUAAACUGA